AUUGAACGCUGGCGGCAUGCCUAACACAUGCAAGUCGAACGGUAACAGGCCGCAAGGUGCUGACGAGUGGCGAACGGGUGAGUAAUGCAUCGGAACGUGCCCAGUCGUGGGGGAUAACGCAGCGAAAGCUGUGCUAAUACCGCAUACGAUCUAUGGAUGAAAGCGGGGGACCGUAAGGCCUCGCGCGAUUGGAGCGGCCGAUGUCAGAUUAGGUAGUUGGUGGGGUAAAGGCCUACCAAGCCGACGAUCUGUAGCUGGUCUGAGAGGACGACCAGCCACACUGGGACUGAGACACGGCCCAGACUCCUACGGGAGGCAGCAGUGGGGAAUUUUGGACAAUGGGCGCAAGCCUGAUCCAGCAAUGCCGCGUGCAGGAAGAAGGCCUUCGGGUUGUAAACUGCUUUUGUACGGAACGAAACGGCCUGGGUUAAUACCCUGGGCUAAUGACGGUACCGUAAGAAUAAGCACCGGCUAACUACGUGCCAGCAGCCGCCGCGGUAA
rnacentral:rRNA from 1 species